rnacentral:rRNA from 1 species
AACGAACGCUGGCGGCAUGCCUAACACAUGCAAGUCGAACGAGACCUUCGGGUCUAGUGGCGCACGGGUGCGUAACGCGUGGGAACCUGCCCUUAGGUUCGGAAUAACUCCCCGAAAGGGGUGCUAAUACCAGAUAAUGUCUUCGGACCAAAGAUUUAUCGCCUUUGGAUGGGCCCGCGUUGGAUUAGCUAGUUGGUAGGGUAAAAGCCUACCAAGGCGACGAUCCAUAGCUGGUCUGAGAGGAUGAUCAGCCACACUGGGACUGAGACACGGCCCAGACUCCUACGGGAGGCAGCAGUGGGGAAUAUUGGACAAUGGGCGAAAGCCUGAUCCAGCAAUGCCGCGUCAGUGAUGAAGGCCUUAGGGUUGUAAAGCUCUUUUACCCGGGAUGAUAAUGACAGUACCGGGAGAAUAAGCUCCGGCUAACUCCGUG